UACGUAGGGUCCGAGCGUUGUCCGGAAUUACUGGGCGUAAAGAGCUCGUAGGUGGUUUGUCGCGUUGUCCGUGAAAACUCACAGCUCAACUGUGGGCGUGCGGGCGAUACGGGCAGACUGGAGUACUGCAGGGGAGACUGGAAUUCCUGGUGUAGCGGUGGAAUGCGCAGAUAUCAGGAGGAACACCGGUGGCGAAGGCGGGUCUCUGGGCAGUAACUGACGCUGAGGAGCGAAAGUGUGGGGAGCGAACAGG
rnacentral:rRNA from 1 species